CCUACGGGUGGCAGCAGUGAGGAAUAUUGGUCAAUGGCCGUAAGGCUGAACCAGCCAAGUCGCGUGAAGGAAGAAGGAUCUAUGGUUUGUAAACUUCUUUUAUAGGGGAAUAAAGGUAUCCACGUGUGGCUAUUUGCAUGUCCCCUAUGAAUAAGCAUCGGCUAACUCCGUCCCAGCAGCCGCGUUAAUACGGAGGAUGCGAGCUUUAUCCGGAUUUAUUGGGUUAAAGGGGUGCGUAGGCGGACUUUUAAGUCAGCGGUAAAAAUUCGGGGCCCAACCCCGUCCGGCCGUUGAAACUGGGGGCCUUGAGUGCGCGAGAAGAAGGCGGAAUGCGUGGUGUAGCGGUGAAAUGCAUAGAUAUCACGCAGAACCCCGAUUGCGAAGGCAGCCUUCCGGCGCCCUACUGACGCUGAGGCACGAAAGUGCGGGGAUCGAACAGGAUUAGAUACCCCUGUAGUC
rnacentral:rRNA from 1 species